rnacentral:rRNA from 1 species
GACAGAGGGGGCAAGCGUUGCUCGGAAUUACUGGGCGUAAAGGGCGCGUAGGCGGAAUGGCAAGUCGGUCGUGAAAUCCUUCGGCUCAACCGAAGAACGUCGAUCGAAACUGCCGUUCUUGAGGAUUGCAGAGGAGACUGGAAUUCCCGGUGUAGCGGUGAAAUGUGUAGAGAUCGGGAGGAACACCGGUGGCGAAGGCGGGUCUCUGGGCAAUUCCUGACGCUGAGGCGCGAAAGCGUGGGUAGCAAACAGG